UAAAAAGGGAUAGGGAUCCAAAGCCCCGUUCACUAAACCUGCAAGUUUCCUUAGUUUUGCAACUUUUCUCUUCAGUCGUAAGCAAAAUGGCUUCCACAACAAAGCUACUGCUCACAGACCUCAUGUCUGGUGUGAACCAUGUCCCUUCAAACUACAUCAGACCCUUCUCCGACCGUCCAAAUCUCACUGAUGUUCAGACAUCAGAUGCCUCCUCCAUUACUCUCAUUGAUCUCAAGGACCUCCAUGGCCCCUAGUACUCUGAUAUUAUCAAACAGAUUGGUCUAGCAUGCCAAACUGAUGGUUUCUUCCAAGUGAAAAAUCAUGGAGUUCCAGAGACAAUGAUAAAAAACAUAUUGAGUAUAGCAAGAGAGUUUUUCAAAUUACCAGAAAGUGAGAGGUUGAAGAUGUACUCAGUGGUAAUUUGAAAAAGGGUUCUUUAGAAAAUGGCCCUUGAAACUCUUAUUUUCCAAACAAAAACCCACCUAAUAUUAAAUAUCCAAAUAAAACCCAAAUUUCAAAUAGAGUACCAUGUAGACAAAUAUGUAACCAAUUAUUAUCACAUAUUUACAACUUAUGCCACAAAA